CGCGUAGGUGGUAGUGCAAGUCUGGGGUGGAAUCCCAGGGCUUAACCCUGGAACUGCCUUGGAAACCGUAUUACUUGAGUCAGUGAGGGGAGGGUAGAAUUCCUGGUGUAGCGGUGAAAUGCGUAGAUAUCAGGAGGAAGGCCUGUGGCGAAGGCGGCCCUCUGGCGCUGAACUGACACUGAGGCGCGAAAGCGUGGGUAGCAAACAGGAUUAGAUACCCUGGUAGUCCACGCCCUAAACGGUGGGUACUAGGUGUGGGGCUCGUAAGGGUUCUGUGCCGAAGCGAAAGCAUUAAGUACCCCGCCUGGGGAGUACGGCCGCAAGGUUGAA
rnacentral:rRNA from 1 species